GCCUGGCGAGCAGGGGGUGGAGCGGGGGUCUGCGACGGCCGGCGGAGGAGCGGCGCUGCGUCGGCGACCCCCGGCCCCCCAGCCCAGCCCCCUCAGCUGGCCGUGCGGCGACCUUGGCGCCUGGCUUCGCACCUCCGCUCCGCGGCCUUCUUGUCUAACGCGGGGACACGGAAGCGGAAGGCCGGUGCGAAACGAUCCGCUAGUGCUUGCGGAACCGUCCAGGAUCUGGUGGAUUACAGACGGCGUCGGUGGCUCGGGCGGCGCGUCCCGUCAGCAGUGAGCCCCGGUGGGCCGGAAUGCACCGGUUCCUUCGGUGCCGCUCGGGCUCGUUGCUAACAGCCACGUCACGCUGGCAGUAACGAGCUGGUGGAUGACCGAGUGGGGUUCCUGGCCCGCCUGGAUGGCUGCAGCCGGUGCUCUGCCCGCAGGGAGAACUGACCCUGCCGGGAUCCAGCUCAAAGCUUCUCUGACAUGUCUCAAGAAGAGUCGAUUGCUCUCUUCCCAGCCAGGACCUGGUGUAGGAAAUGAAGAGCAUUCCUGGUGGGGAAUAUGUGAAAGGAGACACUUCCACCAGGAAGUGUCAAGUAGAUCUCUGUGAUGGGACAUUAGGAAGCAGGUGAAAUGGCAAGAGGUGAGAUGCAGAAAGCUUGGUAGGACCAGGUGGUCAAAGACCCUUGAUUGUCAUGAUAAGGACUGGGAUGUAUUCUGUAGGUGUUCCAAGAAAUUUCAAUGUCCACUGAGCUGCAGUUUCAAAAUGUGCCUAAAUUUAUCUCUUUUGGCUCCAAAGUCCUGACAAUAAGCAGAGAGAGAGGUAGUGGAGUGUGUUUGGAUUUGGAAGUAAGAGUGUCUGGAUUCCAGGCUGUCUCCAUUGUACACUCAGAGGUGCAUCAGUCUUUCUGGACUUCUGCUUUCUCCCAGGAAAAGGGAAAUACUGAGAGAUGAGUCCUCGGAGCUCUCCGAUCCCACAAGUCUGUGCCCACCAGCUGCACCAGGAAAAUCUUUGAUAAGCCUUAUCUCAGGUUCUGGAGGUGGUCACCCAUCAUCCACCUGCUGAUGUUUGUGACUUUGUGUAACUCCUUCCUCUUGAGGGUAAAGGUGGGAAAGAAGAUGGAAGGCGCCCAGGGCGUGUCUGCACCUCCCACUCCCUCCCUACCCAGGCAGUGCACAGUGGGCCACCCGGAAGUGAAGCUCUCAGUCUUCCAGCCAUAUAGAAGUGAAUUCUGCCAGCAAUCUGAGCAAGCAAGGAGGUGAAUCCCUCCCCAGUCAGACUUCAGAUGAGACUCCAGCCCCAGAAAACACCUUGAUUGCAGUCUUGUGAGAUCCUAGGCAGAAGAUUCAGCUAUGCUGGGCUCAGCUUCCUGGCCCAUUUAACCUGUGACAUAAUAAACAGGUGUUGUUUCAAGUCUCUGAGUUUGUGCUGAUGUGUUAGGCAGCAACAGACUCAACUCCUCACCCUAACACUUGACACUCUGACCCUAAGCUCUCCGUUUUCUCCAUUUGCCUCUUGAUGCCUCCUCUCUAUGACUAAUCCCACUCCAGUAGCCAUGUGUGGGUGGCUUUGUCUGUCUGUGGGUCAGACAUAUUUGUGGUUUGCUCACUUUAUGCACCAACUUGACCAGGCGGCAGCGGGGAGUUGGGGGGGAGAUGGGGGGC